CACGCAGAAUCACAGAGUCCUAAAGCUGGAAGGGUGUUAGGAUUACCUGUGCCGCUAGAGAUGGCUUUGCUGUGGGAACGUCAGGAUCUGGCUGCAGCACACGGUAGACCUGCUUUCUCGAGGAGCCGAUUUGAGGGGGUGAGGAGAAGUCCUCUUCAUUAGAUGAGAGGAGAGAAGCCAGAUGUUUGCAGCUGGAGUUGGCUAUGCGACGCCUGCCACCUGCUGCUGCUAAUUUGUUCCUGGGUCGACCAUCUGACCUUCUGCCCACGAAAUGAAACAGUGAAACACUCCUUCUGCCAACACAGUAUUGCCAGCACAAAACUUGAGCGAAUAAAUAAAGGACCAGAGAAUACAGAUCCCAACUGCCCUCCAGACCAUAGCUGGUGCUGUCACAGAGGGCUUCGGCAAUCCAAAAGGAAUAAAGUUGAACCAAGUAACAAGGGCUCCACCUGAUUCAGUCAAGUUGGAAACAGAAAAUCACCUUGAAGUACACGUUCCUUGUUCUGCAAAGGAUGCUUGAGGCAGUUCUGGGGUCCACUGCAGCAGUCCCAUCCUCUGUAUUAAGAGAAUGUGCAAGCAGCAGGGAGACCGACUACUUCUCAGAAAUCUAGUAUCUCUCAACACUGGG